rnacentral:tRNA from 2 species
GGAGCGGUAGUUCAGUUGGUUAGAAUACCGGCCUGUCACGCCGGGGGUUGCGGGUUCGAGUCCCGUCCGCUCCGCCA